rnacentral:rRNA from 1 species
ACAUCCAAGGAAGGCAGCAGGCGCGUAAAUUGCCCGAAUCCUGACACAGGGAGGUAGUGACAAGAAAUAACGAUACAGGGCUAUCUUAGUCUUGUAAUUGGAAUGAGUACAAUUUACAUCUCUUCACGAGGAUCAAUUGGAGGGCAAGUCUGGUGCCAGCAGCCGCGGUAAUUCCAGCUCCAAUAGCGUAUAUUAAAGUUGUUGCAGUUAAAACGCUCGUAGUCGGAUUUCGGGGCGGGGCCGCCGGUCUGCCUAAAGGUAUGCACUGGCGGGCGCGUCCUUCCUUCCGGAGACCGGCCCUACUCUUAACUGAGCGGGGUUGGGAAUCGGAUCGUUUACUUUGAAAAAAUCAGAGUGUUUCAAGCAGGCAGUUUGCUCUUGCAUGGAUUAGCAUGGGAUAAUGAAAUAGGACUUUGGUGCUAUUUUGUUGGUUUCGAACACCGAAGUAAUGAUUAACAGGGACAGUCAGGGGCACUCGUAUUCCGCCGAGAGAGGUGAAAUUCUCAGACCAGCGGAAGACGAACCACUGCGAAAGCAUUUGCCAGGGAUGUUUUCACUGAUCAAGAACGAAAGUUAGGGGAUCGAAGACGAUCAGAUACCGUCGUAGUCUUAACCAUAAACCAUGCCGACUAGGGAUCGGCGGAAGUCCUUUUUUGACUCCGUCGGCACCUUGAGGGAAACUAUAGUCUUUGGGUUCCGGGGGGAGUAUGGUCGCAAGGCUGAAACUUAAAGGAAUUGACGGAAGGNCACCGCCAGGAGUGGAGCCUGCGGCUUAAUUUGACUCAACACGGGGAAACUUACCAGGUCCAGANAUUGUGAGGAUUGACAGAUUGAGAG